rnacentral:rRNA from 1 species
AUUGAGCGCUGGCGGCAGACUUAACACAUGCAAGUCGAGCGGUAACAGAGAGAAGCUUGCUUCUCUGCUGACGAGCGGCGGACGGGUGAGUAAUGCCUAGGAAUCUGCCUAGUAGUGGGGGAUAACUUGCCGAAAGGUAAGCUAAUACCGCAUACGUCCUACGGGAGAAAGGAGGGGACCUUCGGGCCUUUCGCUAUUAGAUGAGCCUAGGUCGGAUUAGUUAGUUGGUGAGGUAAUGGCUCACCAAGACCGCGAUCCGUAACUGGUCUGAGAGAAUGAUCAGUCACACUGGAACUGAGACACGGUCCAGACUCCUACGGGAGGCAGCAGUGGGGAAUAUUGGACAAUGGGGGGAACCCUGAUCCAGCCAUGCCGCGUGUGUGAAGAAGGUCUUAGGAUUGUAAAGCACUUUAAGUUGGGAGGAAGAGCAGUUAACUAAUAUUUGACUGUUUUGACGUUACCGACAGAAUAAGCACCGGCUAACUUCGUGCCAGCCGCCGCAGUAA